UUCCAGCUGCGGUUCGUUGUCAACAUGAGAGAGCCAACACAGCGGUCUUACUACGUGUCAGCAUUGCCGUAAAAAAGGUUUGGACUGACAAUAAAUACCUGCUUCUCAUGUGGUUGCAUCCCUUGUUGAAAAAUAUCCAGACGGUCUCAUCAUAAAUCUAGAUAAGCCAAAGACAAGCAAUACAGAGAGACAUGGGAGGUGGAGUUGAAACGCCGGCACAGGCGCGCAGGAUUUAUUAAUACAAACAGAAAAGAAAGUAAAGAUGGUCAUGUGACGUUACCAGCCAUGGUAACGCACAGAGGACACAUACAGCAAGCUGUACAAAAGGCAAAAUAAAACGCAGUACAAAAACUACAAAUAAAAAGUGCCCCAGAGGGCGAGCGCUAGCCUUAAAAUGAGGCGUCCCGCUCCAGGAACUGGCUACACUACGGAACCCUCGCUAUACAUCACAUGAGAUCACUAUCCCCUAACUAACCUACUCAUGAGCCGGUAUUCAUACAACGACUCGUGCUGCUUCAUACGGCCUUGGCUGGGCAUUGCCUUCACAAGCACCGCUUGCACUCUCAGGGUUGCAUAGCUGUCAUUCCUGCAGAACGGACCCUCUCCUCUCGAGUAUAUUUUCUUAAUGUUAUUAAGAAAAUAAAUAUAUGAAUUAGCCCAUAAACUGUUUAACAUUAUUACAAGGUAUAUAUGGAAAAAGCCACCAAUCACAUUACUUUUAUAAAGAGGUGUUUGUUAGGUUUGUUUUUCUUUUUUUAAUGGAAAUAUACAGGUUAGCAUUACAUUAUAAUAACUGUAAUGUUAAUUUGAACUAUUGUACAAAAAUGUGGUCUUAUUUAGUCCUGCUUUUAACAAUAUGAAUAAUAUUAUAGUCCUAGAAGUUGCUAUUGCGUUCACAGUCUCCUCCCACUAGUACUAGGCUGUUAAAGUUUGUUUUCUGUAAAUCUUCCUUUCUUAGCUUCUUUCCAAGGAAACAGAACAGGUCUGUUUUGUGAUAGAAGUGCACAGUGACACAGCAACAAGGAAGGUGAUCAUUUCUGUUCUGCUCCAAAGAGGGAGCUUCAUUUUAUUGUGAAAGGAACUAUUGCACAACCCAUUAGAAGAAACCUACAAGUUCACUUGAAGUGUUGAUUAAAGGAACAUUUGAGAUACUGACUUCAUAUUUUCAAUGUAAUAAAUACCUAAAGUUGAGGUCAUGUGACACGUUUCUGGGGUAUAGAGAAAGAAAAAACGAUUUGUAAUGCUGGUUUUACAGUUGGUAGUUUAGUGUAUCACUUACACAUUGUUUUAACCACUACCAAAUCAAUAAUACAGAUUGAUUUCACAUAACUGUGUUAGUUGAUAUUUACAAAGUAUUACUUCAGAGAUGCCAUUCCCUAUAUACUCCAGGGAUGCUUUAUUUUUGUUCACAAAAAAAAAAACACAUUUAGUUCAGGGCAUGGUUGGAAUUGAUUUAAACGAGACAUAAAUACCACUGUUUUAGAUCAGGUUUGUUUUAUUUUUUUGUUUGUCUUUUACAUUUUCACUGGAGCAAAACAUUUGCAAUACACGGGUAUAUACUACGUUUCUGAAGUGUAAUUUGAACCUGAAAUGAAUAAUUCAGUUUGGCUGUUAUCCAAGCUAAUAGCUAUAUGUGUUUCAUAUGUUGAUUUACAGUAAACCUCUUUAAGUAAUAUAUAAUUUCCCCACAUGGUGAUAUUUGUGAUUCAUACUUUGUUAAGCUUAUGUUUGAAACUGAGAAGAUAGACAUUGUUCUACAUUUUGCAGCUCAAACAUACGUAGGUGACUAUCACAAGUAAUGCAGAGAGUGUGAUGAGGGAAAAGUACAGCCUUGGGAUGCUUAGGAAGUGCAGGCUCUAGUUUUUCUGGAGUCAUGCAUCUGAAAUUAGAAAGUUUAUGCCUGAAUUUCUGACGAUUUGAAGCAAAUGGACAUGAACCGCGGGUAAGGUACACUUAACUCACACAGUCAAAAACACAAAAUUCUACAAAAUUUCUCAUCCUUGACAUUCAUUAUAUUAAUAUAAAGAAAAAAACUUAUUUACAAAAAUACUGUAAAACACAAUACAGCUGCACCAUACAUACACAAUACAGCUGCACCAUACAUACACAAUACAGCUGCACCAUACAUACACAAUACAGCUGCACCAUACAUACAACUACGGCUCUCGUUGCACUUGUGCAGCUUCUUUUUUUAAGCACCCAAAACAAAAAACAACUCUAGAAACAACAACUAUUCUUAAAGGGGCUAUCGUUGGCAAAUUCUAUUUUUAAAAUCUUCUUUUUUCCCCUUCAACAGAACUAAUGGAACUUUAUUAAGUCGAUAUAAUCAGUAAGAUUUGUGGAUUAUAAAGAAAUUCCUAAAUAUAUUUACAGAAUAUAGCGAUACAAGAUACAGCUGUACCGUUGGUGUAUUAAUUUUUGAACACCAUUUGUUUGCGCAUCUUUUGGAAAACUGAGUUAAUUAAUAACAAUAAUUAAUAACAACUGUCUUUCAUUGCGUGUGACGUCAGUAGCACGGCUCGGCUCUGCAGUGGAACAACAACCCAGGGUAUGGCCCUGGCACGGCUCGGUUGUACAGUGGAAAAGAGGCCUGCUCUUCAGUUCUAGUAGCCUGCCAUAGGGAUAUGUAAGACAAGGUAGCUUGGCCAAAGUGUCUUUGUAUCCUUUGGUUUUGAUGGCAAUACAAUAUAGGGUACAUAUUAGGGUUGUACCUGAAACACGUAUUUUCCGAGUAAUUACCUUUAAGAAAUGUUAAGUUCUUAGGUAUUGUUAAUUCCUCAACACAAAACAAUGCGGUCCCUCGGUUUCCUCAUUUACACAAUUGUUGUAUAUCAAUCACAAUCUCACAGUUUUAUUUAAUACAGAACCUGAUAUGAUUAAACUAACUCGAACUCAUUGAUAUUUUAUAAGUGAUUAUUU